GGUUACUUUUGCCCCACCCGAAGGAAACCUGGCCAGGUGGCGCAGGGCAGGGGUCAGGUGAGGUCAGGUCAGGUCAGGUGGGUGGGUGGCUCGAAUAGGAGCUGGUGAGGAGCGGUAUGAUUGCAACUGUCAGAAGGUAUCGCUCUGGCAGAACAAGUCAGCCCCAAACCUUUAGGGAGAGUAAUAUCUCUGCUGUCCUAUGGUUUUGGGGAAAUGGAAUAAAGAACUGAGACGGCGACAUCUACUGAACAAUCCAAAGCAAAGCUAUCCUGAGCAAUGAGUGGAAGAGAAGUAGUAAUCAUCGUGUCAACUUUUCUAAAACUAAUUCUCAAAUGGACCUCAAGCCUGGCUCUCUCUUCUCAAAGACUCUUGUGAGAGAGAUAACCAUGAUGAAAUUGCUUUUUUGAGAGGAAUGCACUUUACAUGUGCUCAGAGAAAAUGGGGAAACCAUGGUCUUCCACAUGAAUCCAUGGCAAACUGGGACAAAAUCAGAAAAGAAUAAUGCAUAGGAGGAGGAGUGAUAGUGUGGUAAAUAUGAACUUGAAAUAUCGCUGAAAUAUGGGUCCCUUGCAUACAUGGAAAAUUUGACAUAUGAAUAGUUAAAGGUCCCACAGAAAGAGGAUACAGCUCCAUGACAAUGAUGAGAGCAUUUCUCUUCUCAAAGGCAUCAUGAAAGUAGACAAUAUGUUCAUGGUCCAGCUGUGCGAGGAUGCCAAGCUCACGGCGUGCUGAUUUUUUGGCCUUGGCGCGACAAGGGAUGAACUUGGCAGCAAAGGCCAAACCAGAGCUCUUCUGAGUAACUCGCCGCACAUAGGAGAAAGCUCCCCUGGGACAUGGCACAGAUCACUGAGUGCUGUGGGAGAAGACUUGACUGAAGAGGCUUUUCCCAUUGUACCACAUUAACUGUUGGUGACAGCAACCUCUACAUGGUUGAGGGUUACAGUGACAUAGACCGGUUGCCCUUCUACAGCAUAUACCACAUCCGGUUUGUCCAGGAUCACAGGAGCCUCUUCUAGAUUCCACUCACAAGACCAGACUAUAGCACACAAAUCAUCAGUCCUUGGCCAUGACCUUUCUUCCCACCCACCACAGUAAUGGCAUUAGUUGUAAGUUUUCCUUCUCUCAGUCACUUCCUCCUUUCCCUGUUCUCGACUGUGAUGCUAUCUUACCACGGUCAAGGAGCUGCACAGGGUCGCUGGGAGGAGAGGGUUUGCUGUUAGCCUUGGCUGUCGUUGUCAGGACACGAAACAAGUACCGUAUGCCCUUGGUCAGAGCCAGAAUGGUAUAACUGGUGUCACGCACACCCGUGGCAAAAACUGUCCAGUGGCUGGUGCCCAGGAUCUGCUGUUGGAGGGUGUAGGUGACAGAGGCAGGAUCUGCAGAAAAGAAGAGGGGCAUUUCAAUUCAAAACCAACCAAUUGGGGAUUGGACAAUGCGCACUCAGGACUUCGGCGGCACACUUGACGCCUGCCUUUCUCCAAAUCAGCACUUCUGUGGUGGACCACAGGGACCAAUGAUCCACAAGGCACUGAGAAAGCACAACCUGUAGGAUCAGCCAACAAAGCCUCUGUAGGGUUGAGAGGUCCUGAUGCUACACAGCCUCUUUCCUUAUAGUUUAGUGAACAAUUCCUUUGUUGGAUGUCAUUUCCUCAAUAGAAACAAUAACCAGGGUUGUAUUUGUAUGUUGUGAUUCUAUAGGAAAACUGAGAAAUGUGGUGUUGGGCGUAAAAUAUCUCUAAUAUAAUAAGGAACCAAAAAAGUAUUUAUGGCUUGAAAGGUAUUGUUGAGCACAUGAUGGUUCUGCCUAUUGCAAUCUCACAGCCCAG